rnacentral:rRNA from 1 species
CCUACGGGAGGCAGCAGUAAGGAAUAUUGGUCAAUGGACGAAAGUCUGAACCAGCCAUGCCGCGUGAAGGAUGAAGGCCCUCUGGGUUGUAAACUUCUUUUAUCUGGGACGAAAAAAGCUCAUUCUUGAGCACUUGACGGUACCAGAGGAAUAAGCACCGGCUAACUCCGUGCCAGCAGCCGCGGUAAUACGGAGGGUGCAAGCGUUAUCCGGAUUCACUGGGUUUAAAGGGUGCGUAGGUGGGUCUGUAAGUCAGUGGUGAAAUCUCCGAGCUUAACUCGGAAACUGCCAUUGAUACUAUAGGUCUUGAAUCAUCUGGAGGUAAGCGGAAUAUGUCAUGUAGCGGUGAAAUGCUUAGAUAUGACAUAGAACACCAAUUGCGAAGGCAGCUUACUACGGGUGUAUUGACACUGAGGCACGAAAGCGUGGGGAUCAAACAGGAUUAGAUACCCUGGUAGUCCACGCCCUAAACGAUGGAUACUCGACAUCAGCGAUACACUGUUGGUGUCUGNGNGAAGANAUAUAUACCACCNGAGACGACGCGAGUAGAAGUAAAGUAAGUAGUAGAGNGAGAGAGCGACGACGACGACGAGGAGGAGGAG